CGGGAACGGGCAAGCUCUUAAGAUAGAAGCGGUACGGCCCUUACUCUCUUCCUUCAUAGAAUUCAGGAAGAGCGGGCCAGGAAAGCUACACUCUACUUUAUUUACAAACCAUUUUCUCACAGCAUCUGGAUCACGACAUCAUUAAACCUGUAAAACUAAAUCCUGUACUCGAGCUUACUUGAAUUUCCAUAGCAACGAUAUACUAUAGGGUAUAAACCAUAACAAAUUGGCUGUUUCCAUUGUUAAAAGAAAGAAAUGAGAUUAGAAAUCAACUCAAUUGUUAAUAUCACUUUGCAUUAACAGCUUCACCACCAAGCCCAUGUCGACAUUUAAAAAAUUAGACCUUCAAAAUUUUCUAGUACACAAUUUCUACGAGCUUGAGUAUUAUCAAGUGAACAAAUGAUAACUACAAGAAGUAUGCUUAUGACAGAGUAGUAAGGAACUCAAUACUGUAUGAAUACCAGAGCAGGAGCAUUAGAUUUCCAGUUCGGUCAUGCAUGCACCCUGUUAGAUGACUACUACCUCCUAAACAUUCUUCUGAAGAGACCACGCUUACGUGCGUUCUUGAGAUCUUUAUCUGAAAAAUUAGAGGGAAAAAAGGCAAUAUAUAAGCAAAAUAGUGUAAUGAUCUGCAUGUCCACUGGAAACGAACAAAUUUCAUUAGAAAAAUCACAUCCAUAUGUCUGAAUCUGCUCGUCACAUGACAAAAGACAUAAUACUGCCAGAAGCUUGAGUAGUUACCAGGAGAACUCAAAUGCGGGAGGUCAUGAUAUCAUAUUUCUCAUCUUUGGCUAAGCUUAAAAAUAAGUAAAAGAAUUGCAACUUUUUCUUUCCAAACAUUUUUGAGCAACUUAACUUUUGUCUUGCUUUCAAGUAAGAAAUAUUACUUAUUCAGAACUCGAUAGUGACAAGAUGAAGUAACUUGCCUGUUUUCACUUUUGAUGAUUUCGUUUGUUUUAAAAUUAUUUACUUGCAAGUAAACAAAACUUAGACAAACAUGCUCUUACAUUGAGUACACAACACCAACGACAAUAGUCAAAUGGAGACGUGAUAGUUUUAAUGCUUGGUUUGAUAGUUUUAAUGCUUGGUUUGAUAGUGAUUAUGAGUUGU
rnacentral:lncRNA from 1 species